UCUGGCCCAUCUCGCCGCCGAGCUCCCCCAUCCCCCUCGUUCCAGAUGUUCUCAAAAAAAGAAAAGGAAAAUCCCCCUCGCUUGUCUCGCUCUCCCUCCCUACUCGGGCACGGCUGACUCCAGUAACGCCGCCGCCGCCGGUUGAUCUCCCCGUCGAUUCUCUUGCUCCCGACCGUUUCUCCUCCCAUCACUCCACGAACCGAUUCUUCCCUUUAGCUCCCCGUUUCAUCUCCUUAAUACCCCCAGUUCAUAACUGAGGCAAAAAUCGAAGGUAGCGCGGCCGCGCUACCUUGCCCUACUGGGUCCUGCGCCCAUGAAUCUGACUGAUGCAAAUUAUUUCUAUUGAUCCAGGUGUGGUAAAAUUGGUCAAGUAGGAAAAACUCUGGAAUGGAAACAAAUUUAGGUAUCUAAGUGCUGAUUCUGUUUAUGCAAAGGAUAGUUGGGCAGGGCGAGUCUAGUCAUGGGAAGGUUUGAGCACGGCAAUCUACUGGUAUCUCUUAGUGACGGAAACCGGCAUGGUUAUAGUCUUACAGCCGUAGCUGUUGUACUGGGGAUGGCAGCUGCUGGGUUGUGCAAAGCGCUUCAUAGCAGUUCUGUUAUACCAUCAUGGGAUUUUCGGAAGUUCUUUUCAGGAUCAGAGAGACUAUACUACUCUGGAGGCCUGGAAAAUCUUGGCAAUAAUUGCUUUCUUAAUGUUAUCCUGCAGGCACUUGCGAGCUGUGGCCAUUUUGUGUCCUCUCUAGAUGGUUUGCUUGUAAGUGAUGGCGCACUACCUGAGGAACAGUCUGAGAAAAUGCCUCUUAUCUUUGCUUUAAGUUCCCUUUUAAAAGACUUGAGCAUAGUUCGAGGCGAAAGAACUGUACUGAAUCCUCGAAGAGUAAUGCAUGCUUUGAGCUUCUAUGUUAGCCACUUCAAUUUGACCAGACAGCAGGAUGCUUCGGAAGCUUUUCUUCAUCUAUUGACAUCAAUGAGGGAUGAAUUUUCCCAUUGUUAUGUACCGCAUAGGAGCUCUCUGGCAGACAUCACCAUGUUUCCCUCCAAAGUAUACAUGCAAAGGGAAGGUUACGAACCUGAAUGCAGGCGCUGGAUAAAAAACAUAUUUGGUCCCUUUGAUGGGACUAUUGGCAGCACAUUAUCUUGCAGAAAUUGUUCAUCUGUGCUGUCAUUGGACUUCGAGAAUUUUCACUGCCUGCCGCUCUCACCUGUUUCUGAUAGAGAUGGAGAUAUUAUUAAUGGGUGUACUUUGGUGGAUUGCCUGAAGCACUUCACUGUGCUGGAGCAUAUCGACAAUUAUCGUUGUGAUCAUUGUUGGCAUAGUGCUGCUGCCAAAUAUUUCUCUCGUCAGUCAGAAGUCGAUGAGGAAAAGGUUAACAAACUGCGCACCUGUGUCGACUAUGACAGUUGUAGUUGCAGGCACAUAUUUGGUCCGGAAAAAAUAGCGUGGACAGUAUCUUCAAAAGCAACGAAGCAGUUGGCUAUCACUCGUUGUCCGAAGAUCUUGUGCAUUCAUUUGCUACGUGCUUCUAUUAGUCUAGAUGGUGAACUCAUAAAGCGCGAGGGACACAUUUCUUUUCCUUUACUUCUCGAUCUAUCCCCAUUUGCAGGAGGCACAUUCAGCAAUGGUCAUGGACCUGAACCUUCAGCAAUGAACAUGCAAAAAUAUGACCAGCCAUCUCUCCAUCUGUAUCGACAACUAAAUGCACAGAUGCCCAUUAAUAUGUUUCCUACUGGUGGGAACUUGUCAAGUCAUCCACACAAGGAUGAAUUGACAAAUGGUGGUGGAUGCUCACCGUACAAGGAUAUGAGAGGCUUCGGAUUGGGUCAUCAGGUAGGGGCAUCGCCAUACCAGUCUGUUCAGCGUAGAACCGCCAUGGUGUUUCAGGGCUUCAGGCUGAAAACGGGUGCAGGCAGCAGCAUUGGAACUUUACUUUUGAGGGGCUCUCUCCUUCGCUGGCUGAGGCAGGAUCGACCUCUUGACAUCAGCCAAGUAGGCCUCUUGACGACCGCGGAGCGGGCCUCUUGAUUUGAUCUCCCUAUCACCUUGUUGGUGGAGCCAUAGGCUGGAGCUGGAGCGGCACCGGUGUGAACAUGCUCAUGGGAAAUGUUGCUGUGGCUACAAGUUCUUUAUCACCAUCCUCAUCAAGAAAUGAGUUAUAUGGUCUUUCAGCUGUCAUUGAGCACUAUGGUAUAUGCGGAGGUGGGCAUUAUGCAGCAUACAGGAGAGUACUGUCAAAU